UUGGGCACUCUAAGGAAACCGCCGGUGAUAAGCCGGAGGAAGGUGGGGAUGACGUCAAGUCCUCAUGGCCCUUACACGCUGGGCUACACACGUGCUACAAUGGCGGUGACAGUGGGCAGCAAACUCGCGAGGGUGAGCUAAUCUCCAAAAGCCGUCUCAGUUCGGAUUGUUCUCUGCAACUCGAGAGCAUGAAGGCGGAAUCGCUAGUAAUCGCGGAUCAGCAUGCCGCGGUGAAUACGUUCCCAGGCCUUGUACACACCGCCCGUCACACCAUGGGAGUUGGUUUCACCCGAAGGCAGUGCGCUAACCGCAAGGAGGCAGCUGACCACGGUGGGAUCAGCGAC
rnacentral:rRNA from 1 species